CCUACGGUAGGCAGCAGUGGGGAAUAUUGGGCAAUGGGCGCAAGCCUGACCCAGCAACGCCGCGUGAAGGAAGAAGGCUUUCGGGUUGUAAACUUCUUUUCGCAGGGACGAAGCAAGUGACGGUACCUGAGGAAUAAGCCACGGCUAACUACGUGCCAGCAGCCGCGGUAAGACGUAGGUGGCAAGCGUUAUCCGGAUUUACGGGGUGUAAAGGGGGUGUAGGCGGGAAAGCAAGUUAGAUGUGAAGACCAUGGGCUCAACCUGUGGCCUGCAUUUGAAACUGUUUUUCUUGAGUACUGGAGAGGCAGACGGAAUUCGUAGUGUAGCGGUGAAAUGCGUAGAUAUCAGGAGGAACACCAGUGGCGAAGGCGGUCUGCUGGAGAGCAACUGACGCUGAGGCGCGAAAGCGUGGGGAGCAAACAGGAUUAGAUACCCGAGUAGUC
rnacentral:rRNA from 1 species